rnacentral:lncRNA from 1 species
UCUGGCCCAGGGAAGUCCUGCCUUCGACCUUCAACGUGGCUGGUCUAGUCUCAGGUUCCUGGAAGGAGGGAGAAAGGGAGGGCGGUGAAACCUGAGAAAGGAACAGAGGGAGGCUAGCCGGGCCUUCCUUCUGAGGCUUCUUAUCUUCCCCACAUUGGAACAAGAAGAGAAAUCUUCAAGAUAGUUAGGACUCUGACACCAUCAGCACACAGACAAAAGACAGACAGAAACAGCUCACAGAAGGAAGCAGGCCAUAGCCUCCGCCCAGAGUGGGAAUUAAAUGUUUUCUUCCUGAAAGCAGAAAGGAAAACCACGAUUAAAGCCAAGCUGUGACUCGAAGUCUACGACUCCAUGACAGCGGCUGGGAUUAAAGGUGUGUGCCAUCACAGCCCUAAACUGCAGCAACUCUCACAAAGGAAAACAUUUAAUUGGGACUGGCUUACAGCUUCAGACGCUUAGCCCAGUAUGGUGGCAUGCAGGAAGACCUGGUGCUCCGAGGAGCUGAGAAAUUCUACAUCUUGAUUCAGAGGCAGCAGGAAAAGAACUGUGUGCCGCUGAGCCUGGGCUUCAGCAUCUGAGACUCAAAACCCACCCCCGUAGUGACACUCUUCCUCCAGCAAGGCCACACCGACUCCAAUAAGGCCAUGCCUCCUAAUAGUGCCAUUCCCUAUGGACCAAGCAUUCACUUG